CAGUAGCCAGGGAAUACCAGCACCUCGAGUGGUCAGGAGGUUUAUUGGGCCUAAAGCAUCCGUAGCCGGUUGUUUAAGUUUUCGGUUAAAUCUAUGCGCUUAACGUAUAGGCUGCCGAAAAUACUGGACAGCUAGGGAGUGGGAGAGGUACACGGUACUCAAUAGGAAGGGGUAAAAUCCUUUGAUCUGUUGAUGACCACCUGUGGCGAAGGCGGUGUACCAGAACACGUUCGACGGUGAGGGAUGAAAGCUGGGGGAGCAAACCGGAUUAGAUACCCCCGUAGUCCCUGUCUCUUAUACA
rnacentral:rRNA from 1 species